rnacentral:sRNA from 1 species
AGUGCCGCUCUUAGAGGGUCCGGGCUCAGAGGGGCCAUGAUUCGGAGGGUUCUGCCGCACGGCUUGGGCCGGGGCCUCUUGACCCGGAAGCCAGGCACGCGCAGAGGAGGCUUUUCUCUGGGUAAAGUUGAGGACGACAGAGGGCAUUGUGGUUCUGGGUUGUCCCCAACCUCCGACUGUGUGUCCUUCAGGACCCGAAACCAUGGCCCACACUGGCAGGACAGCGGGUCGGCUUGGGGAAGGGGUAUUCACAGGCCUCCACUGGGCUCUCAGUAGGUGGGAUUUGUCAGCAGUUCUCAUUGCCUGAGAACAUCCAGCUCUCCCUCUUUUCAGCCAGCUUUCUACGGAAUAUCAAUGUAGGUGCAAUGGUAUCUGGGAUGUUGGGGUGGUUACCCCUCCUUUAGCCCAGAGUGGGGAGCAGCCCAGCUAGCAAGGUAGCCAGAGAGCAAGAAUGGGUCAGCCAACUAGGAGAGGGGGGCCCUGGCCUUUCUUCCUAGUGGUGGUGCCUCAAGGUCUGGGGCACGGAGCCUGGGGAGCUGUGGGGGAAGAAGGCAGGAGAACUCUUCCUGGCAUCCUUAAGUCAGUCUC